GUUGCGCCGCGCGGGGCCAGGGCCCGGGAUCCUGGGGCUGCCUGGGCUCCCGGGGCGGCGGGGCUGAGUCGAAGGGGAUUUUCUGGCCUUCUCGGGAGCUUUAUCCAUCGCCUUUUUCAGUGAAAUCGGGGCCGUUUUGGGGCGGGGGGGUCCCUGAAGAAGUGGCCAGGCUGAGGCCCAACAUGGAGGACGAGGGGGGAAGGAAGGUGGGAGAUGGCCUGGGUGCAGUCAAACAAUACAUUUAUCUUUGGGCUUAAAUAUUUCACUCCUCCAUAGGCCCUGUCAGCAUCCCAGUCCUAAUGCUUGCAAACUUCAAGAUCAGGUGGCAGCCUUGGGGUUGGAUGUAUCUUGACUGUUAUAUAGAAGGAUCCCGAGGGACUCUGGCUACUUGUUUCACUAUUGCAGAACUGCUGCCAGCAAAAAAUCUCUCUUUUGCAACUUGCAAAUGCUUGCAGUUACGUCUUCUGGUUAACUGCUCCAAUCUGAGUUCUUAUGAUGCUGGGUUCAAGCAUAUUAGGCAUCCUGGUGGUCCUCAGCUUCCUCUGAAACAUCCCUGUGCCUCAGAACGCCCUGUAAAAAGGACAUUUUUUAACCACGGGUGCAAGUGCAGGUUUUAUGUCAUUAGUUUCACCAUGUGGUCUUGGGUUACACCAGACAAAGUAACAACCUAGUUUUGUUCUGGAUGAAUCCACACUUGAAUGUCAUAUACAGUGAACACAUGGGGGUUGGAAAAAGGACCAUGCUUGUAUUGAGAUGCCUUUCUCUGAGUAAUGUAAACUUCCUUUUAAUUGUCAUGCAUUUUUCUAGUAAAAGCUCUGCAAGUCUGCAAUAAAAAUGGCCUCCAAUAAAACUACAUUGCACAAGAUGGGAAAGAAACAGAAUGGCAAAGGUAAAAAAGUUGAAGAGGCAGAGCCUGAAGAAUUUGUUGUGGAAAAAGUCUUGGACAGACGUGUCGUAAAUGGGAAGGUUGAAUACUACUUGAAAUGGAAAGGAUUUACAGAUGCUGACAACACAUGGGAACCUGAAGAAAACUUAGAUUGUCCAGAGUUAAUUGAAGCUUUUCUAAACUCUCAGAAAGCUGGUAAAGAAAAAACCGAUGGUGCCAAAAGAAAAUCUUUAUCAGAUAGUGAGUCUGAUGACAGUAAAUCAAAGAAAAAAAGGGAUUCCGUUGAUAAACCAAGAGGGUUUGCAAGGGGUCUUGAUCCUGAGCGAAUAAUUGGAGCAACAGAUAGCAGUGGGGAACUUAUGUUUCUUAUGAAGUGGAAAGACUCGGAUGAGGCAGAUUUGGUACUGGCCAAAGAAGCCAAUGUGAAGUGUCCUCAGAUUGUAAUCGCUUUUUAUGAAGAACGACUAACUUGGCAUUCAUGUCCGGAAGAUGAAGCACAAUAAUUGUUUGCGUUGCUUUUUUAUAUAUAUGAAUAUUGAAACCUGAUUUUGAUUUUAUUUGAUUUAUUAGCAAUGUGAGAAGCGUACAUUCUAAUGAAAAUCAAGUUUGAUAUUUUUUUGGAGUAGUGUGUUUUGCAUCAACAGCAAGUAAAUAAAGGCUUUCUGCAACUUCAUUUAUCACAGGAGAGCAUUUGAUACUACUACUUCCUCCACAUUAGAUGGUUGAGAUCCUGCUGGUGGAGACUUGCCUGACUGCUCUGAGGGGAUCCAUUCACUGAAUCCCAUGUGAUCAUACAAUGCUGUGUCUGGGGAAAGUUUAGGUUCUUUCCUGGCUCUGGGCAGUAGGGGGCCCCUUGCUCUUAUUUGUACUAGUUUCAGAAUAUAGCCAUCUGCCCUAGCCCUGAUUGGGCCUCUUGCCCAUUUUCAAGAUUCCUGCCAGGAUGCAAGUGUUUUGCUUCACUGUUUUGGUCCUUACUUGAUUGCUUUAAUGUAGGGAUGUCAAACUAACCUCAGUCCUCCAGGCUGCUCCCACUGUGGUUAUGUCCAGAUGUAGCCCAUGAAGAACCUUGUGGAUUAGAUUUGGACCACAGACCAGAUGCAGACAUGGCAGCAGUGCUGUGUCCAGAUAUUAACACAGCUGUCAGUGACCCCUUGCUGCUGACAUACAUCCCCAGUGGGGCUCCAUAGCCCAGGCUUCAGUGGCAGGCCCUGCCCCUGAAUUUCCUGCUCCUCUGGGGCCAGGUAAAUUCCCACACCUCAGAUGACGUAGCUCUGCAAGCCAAAUCUGGCUUUCAGGUCAUACGUUUGACAUGUCUUCUUGUUUAACACACACAGAAUAUAUAGGUUUCUGAAAUACCAAAUAUAAGAAGUAAAGAUCUGAGCAGAAAUAGUAAACUUACAUGCAUUUCCCUGCCUCAGUUUCAUCACUGUUUUGGAAUGUUCCCUAGGCUGGGUUCAGGCUUCUUUCAUGUUUGGGAUCCUUCUAUAGGUCAUGGUUUGUCUUUGGACCAGGGAGAAUAUCCAUCAUAGCUCACCACCUCUGACCUUGAUACUGUCAGACUGGUAUUAAAAUCUAGUCAAAUAUUUAAUUAUCAAGCAAGCUGCCUUGCCUUAAAAUAAUUUUGUUAUUUUUUUUUGUUUUACAAUCCUUCCUAGCAAGAUGUUGAUCCUUGCUGGUCAGUAGCCAUUACAAUAGGUGGAUUUGAUUCUAUGCUGAGCUUUCCUAUUAAAUUACAUAUUAUUCUUUCUACCCAGGAAGACAUGCUUGCCCAUAUUUUAAGCAGAUACACAAUUCAACAAACAUGUUUAUUCACAUUCUUAAUUCUAUUUUUAGAUUUUAUGAUUGGUCAGUAGAACAUGAUAACUAACAUAGGAUCAUAGGGAACAUAGAACUGGAAGAGAUUUCAUGAGGUCAUUAGUCCAGUUCCCUGCUUAGAGCAGGAUGACUGUAAAUUAAACCAUCCUGUUCAAGUAUCUGUCUUGCCUCCUUGGAAAUUUCGCAGCUUCCCAAGGUAGCCUUUUCAAGUGAUUGGGAUAAAACUCCUCAGAUCCCAUUGUAUGUCUGCUGGCACUUGAAUAAUCCAACAAUGGGGAGAAGCUCCCUCAUGCUGGAUUGUCCACACGCCCUUUAAACUUGCUGGCAUAUGGGGACUUAGGAUCAGGAAGAGAUUUCCUGAUCCUAGGUUCCCCAUACACCCAGACUUCUAAAAGGCACACAUGCAGCCCAGUUGCACACAUCCCCUCUAAACUGCAGCACAUGGGAAUCUCCAUAUCCGGGAAGCAGCUCCUCCUGUGCCCUGUACACCAGGAACUUUAAGAGGGUGUAUGGGGGAGCAGCUCCUUGCAUGCCCUUUAAAUGAAGUGAUGUGCCACACAUUAAAAUUGUUGUGAGGUGCUUCCACAUCAGAAAGUAGUUGCUGAUUUUAAUAGGGAACUUCUCUGAAGCAGAUCUACCUAACUCCUCAUCAAAAGUAAACUUCUUGUUUGAUCAGCAAGCACUUAAUCUGACCCAGCCCUUCCUUAAUAAUAAAUGCAAACCCUCUCAACAGAUCUUUACUGCCACAACAAUCAACAUUCCCCACAGCAAAACCAUGGAUCAUGCAUGUGUCUGGCCCAGAAUGUGGUAUACCUCAUUCAGUGCACUAAAUGAUCACGUGGUGACUUAUGUGGGCAAAGCCAGACAAAAACUAUGCACUAGACUCAUCAAAAAAAGAUAAGACAGAGACACUAGAACACAGGUAGGAGAACAUUUUUCAUAGAGGAUUUACUCCCUGUUUGACUUCACAGAUCUUGUGUUCAAUCCAACAUAGGAAUAGAAAUGCAUCAGCCUAUUAGAUAUAGGUAUCAGAGACUUAACGUAGACAAUGACUUCUUGGUUCAUUAUAGUCAACCUCUGCACUUCUGAAUGACCCUCCUGGGCAAUCUUUUACACAGUUUUUUUGUUCUAUUUGCUACUUAGCUCGGCUUCCCUUGCAGAGGCCUGAUGAAAGGUAAUGUGAUAUCUGAAAACUUCCCUGUCUAUCCCAGCCAUGCAGUUGGGCCAAUUAAAGAUAUCACUCAAAAGAA